rnacentral:rRNA from 1 species
GACGAACGCUGGCGGCGUGCCUAAUACAUGCAAGUCGAGCGAAGUUUUUCUGGUGCUUGCACCGGAAAAACUUAGCGGCGAACGGGUGAGUAACACGUAAAGAGCCUGCCUCAUAGACUGGGACAACUAUUGGAAACGAUAGCUAAUACCGGAUAAUAGCAUUAACUGCAUGGUUGAUGUUUAAAAGUUGGUUUUGCUAACACUAUGAGAUGGCUUUGCGGUGCAUUAGCUAGUUGGUGGGGUAAAGGCCUACCAAGGCGACGAUGCAUAGCCGACCUGAGAGGGUGAUCGGCCACACUGGGACUGAGACACGGCCCAGACUCCUACGGGAGGCAGCAGUAGGGAAUCUUCCGCAAUGGGCGAAAGCCUGACGGAGCAACGCCGCGUGAGUGAAGAAGGAUUUCGGUUCGUAAAGCUCUGUUGUUAGGGAAGAAUGAUUGUGUAGUAACGAUACACAGUAGAGACGGUACCUAACCAGAAAGCCACGGCUAACUACGUG